rnacentral:lncRNA from 12 species
GGCAUUUUAUUUUCGUGUGUGUGUUCCAUUCUGUUUUCUUAAUUUUAAUUCCAAUAUAGUUAACACAGUGUUAUAUUAGCUUCAGGUGUACAAUAUAGUGAUUCACCCAUUCCAUACAUCACCUGGGGCUCAUCAUGACAAGGCACUCCUUGAUCCCCACCACCUAUUUCACCCAUCCUACCACCCCCCCUUCCAGUAAUUUUCAGUUUGUUCUCUGGAGUUGAGAGUCUGUUUCUUAGUUUCUCUCUCUCUCUCUCUCUCUCUCUCUCUCUUUUUCUCCCCCCUUUGCUCAUUGGUUUUGUUUCUUAAAUUCCACAUAUGUGUGAAAUCAUAUGCUAUUUUCCUUCUCUUAUUUCACUUAGCAUUAUACUCACAGGGUGGCAUUUUAAGUGGAUUUGGAUUCAGGCUAGUGUUUGAAAGUACAGUUGAUAAGGACUCACAAUGGAAUAGUCAUGGGGUACGAGUGAAAGAGAAGAGUCAUUUACUGACAUGGAAAGAUUAGGGGAGACACAAGUUCAGAGCAGUGGGUGGGAAAUCCAAAAGUCAGUCAUUGGACAUUUAAUAGUUGAGAUACCUAUUACUGGCCUGCUGGAUCUAUGAAUCUAGAGCUCGAUGGAGAACUUGGUUGAGUUUGCUGGGCUAUGACCACACCACCUUCCCUUGCCUGUCCAGUGCUCCAAGCCUUCAGGAGAGCCUGUCCAGAAUGCCUUGGGCAGUGUCAGGCCGGAUGGCAGAAAGGUGUGACAGUCCUGCCAUGGUCUGGCGUGAGGAACAGCUGGAGUGUGUCCUGUCCUCUGAGCAGCUCUGCCUGACAGCACUGGCCUGGGGCCUCCCUUGAGCCGGGUUCCUACAGAGCCUCUGGAAGAUGUGAAGGAUCUUGUUAUUAUGUUAUCCCAAAUACCCACCCUCACACUUUGACACCGAGGCAUGUCCAGAAGAAAGAAUCCCCAGAUGAAGCAAUAAUUCUGAGGAUCUGAUUCCACCAGCCUGUCUCCAGGAAAACACAGGUAUUCCCAGGACUAGAGUCCUACCCAUUCCAUGCUCCAGGCUGAUCUCCCUGCUAUACACAGAAGGACUCUGAGGCUAGGCUGAGCUUCUCUGCUCUCAGCUAAGAGUCAGCAAAAGCUUCUCGUUGACCUCCAGAUAAAGGGAUACUUCUGGACCUGGUAUUUCUAGUUGUACAAGACCUGGGACCAGUCCAUUCUUAGGCCUCCUCCCAACUGCUGCCCAUGAGCUACACACAGCUCCUGAGAUGCCCGGGUAUGGAAUAAGGAUCUAUAUGCACUCCUUGGCCAGGCACCCUUUCUCCAUCUCAGGUCCCUUGUCACUGGAGCUACAGCUUAAAUCCUGCUCCCAAAGGACAAAAUGCAAAUAGAAAAAGAAGGGGAUGGGGAUAAAGUAGGUUAAAAAGCAGCAAAGAUUGAUAUUUACUCAGAUUUGGCUGUUUUUCUUUAGAAAACACUCCUCAUAUCAUUGCAAGCUUUGGGUCACUUUCCAGAGUUCAGAAAGAGUUAAUUUUGACAAUUUGUACCCAUGUUCUCAUUGAUUUUAUGGAGAAAUAAAUCUCCAGAAGUCCUUGUCA